GAGAGAGAGAGAGAGAGAGAGAGAGAGAGAGAGAGAGAGAGAGAGAGUGAGAUGGAUGGUUUAGGAACGUGGAAUCGUUGUUGGAUCGUAUGGUUCGGCAUUGCGGCGAGAUUAACUCGAUAUUACGAGGAGGGAAAUACGCCGAUAGCGUUCGAAACGUCGGAUGGUCAAAGGAGGUGAUGGUGGAGGUGGAGAUAGUGAAGGAGGAUGAGGAGGAGGAGGAGAAGGUGGUAGUGGUAGUGGUGGUAGUGGUCGUGGAGAUGGAGGUGGAGGCCUUACAAAGAUAGCUCGUUUUCAAAUUGGCUCUGAGAGCCAAUGAUCGUUCGAGCACGUAAUCGAUGUAAUUUAAUGAAUGACGGGCCGGUUUGCGCUCGAGCACACUCGUGAAGGAGAAGCCAUAGUGAGAGCCUGUAUUACGCGUACCAUAUCUAUCUAUGCAUAGAGAAGAGGACUGUCGAAUAGGCGCAGCCCGAUGUCAGUCAAGGAAUUAAUCCACGAGACAAGAUGUGAGGACGGGACUCCCAGAAACCCUUGGGAAUCGUCGAGAUGGUUCCAUGAUUCGAUGAAUGGCGAAGAGAGAACGAGAAAGAAGGGAAGAAAAGAGAUUAUAUAUAUAUAUAUUUUAUACAUAUGUGUGUGUGUGUGUGUGUAUAUAUAUAUAUAUAUAUAUAUAUAAAAUAUAUAUACAUAAAGUUCCAGGUGGUCGCACGCUAACUGGCAAUAUCCGCAUGGAGCUGCGAGAAAAUCCAUUCACCGAUAUCUUCGUGUUCUCUAGCGCGUCUACUCCACUUCGUUAGGACUCAUCGAGGCAAGGAGAAACGAUGAGAAUGGUGGAAGAGGAGGAGA